rnacentral:rRNA from 1 species
GACGAACGCUGGCGGCGUGCUUAACACAUGCAAGUCGAACGGUGAAGCGCCUUCCUUUUUGGUGGGUGUGGAUGAGUGGCGAACGGGUGAGUAACACGUGAGUAACCUGCCCCCUUCUUCUGGAUAACCGCAUGAAAGUGUGGCUAAUACGGGAUAUUCUGGGUCUGUCGCAUGAUGGUUCUGGGAAGGAUAUUGUUUCGGUGGGGGAUGGGCUCGCGGCCUAUCAGCUUGUUGGUGGGGUGAUGGCCUACCAAGGCGGUGACGGGUAGCCGGCCUGAGAGGGUGGACGGUCACACUGGGACUGAGACACGGCCCAGACUCCUACGGGAGGCAGCAGUGGGGAAUAUUGCACAAUGGGCGCAAGCCUGAUGCAGCGACGCCGCGUGAGGGAUGGAGGCCUGCGGGUUGUGAACCUCUUUCGCCAGUGAAGCAGGCCUGCCUCGUUUGUGGGUGGGUUGACGGUAGCUGGAGAAGAAGCGCCGGCUAACUACGUG